rnacentral:misc_RNA from 1 species
UCCGUGUUAUCCACGGCAGUCUCCCAUGAGUUCCCGCCAUUACGCGCUGGCAACAUAGGAUAAGGGUUGCGCUCGUUGCGGGACUUAACCCAACAUCUCACGACACGAGCUGACGACAGCCAUGCAGCACCUGUGUUACCGCUCCCUUUCGGGCACACCCACCUCUCAGCGGGCUUCGGUACAUGUCAAGGGUAGGUAAGGUUUUUCGCGUUGCGUCGAAUUAAUCCACAUCAUCCACCGCUUGUGCGGGUCCCCGUCAAUUCCUUUGAGUUUUAAUCUUGCGACCGUACUCCCCAGGCGGAUGACUUAACGCGUUAGCUGCGCCACCGAAGCUCUAAGAGCCCCGACAGCUAGUUAUCAUCGUUUACGGCGUGGACUAC